rnacentral:rRNA from 1 species
UUCACAUGUUCACAUGAUUAAAGGUAUUCCGGUAGACGAUGGGGAUGCGUUCCAUUAGAUAGUAGGCGGGGUAACGGCCCACCUAGUCUUCGAUGGAUAGGGGUUCUGAGAGGAAGGUCCCCCACAUUGGAACUGAGACACGGUCCAAACUCCUACGGGAGGCAGCAGUGAGGAAUAUUGGUCAAUGGGCGCAGGCCUGAACCAGCCAAGUAGCGUGAAGGAUGACUGCCCUAUGGGUUGUAAACUUCUUUUAUAAAGGAAUAAAGUCGGGUAUGUAUACCCGUUUGCAUGUACUUUAUGAAUAAGGAUCGGCUAACUCCGUGCCAGCAGCCGCGGUAAUACGGAGGAUCCGAGCGUUAUCCGGAUUUAUUGGGUUUAAAGGGAGCGUAGAUGGAUGUUUAAGUCAGUUGUGAAAGUUUGCGGCUCAACCGUAAAAUUGCAGUUGAUACUGGAUAUCUUGAGUGCAGUUGAGGCAGGCGGAAUUCGUGGUGUAGCGGUGAAAUGCUUAGAUAUCACGAAGAACUCCGAUUGCGAAGGCAGCCUGCUAAGCUGCAACUGACAUUGAGGCUCGAAAGUGUG